AUGGAUUUUGAUUUAUUUGAUGAUGGGAUCAGACUUCUCUCCUCUGUGUCAUCAGGAACCUUCACAAGUUUUCUGCUAAGGGAAGGGAUAGUAAGAUUUGCAUUAUGUUUUUUUUGUUAUUUUCCUUCCACUGCAACUGAGAUUUGCGAAACCCUGGAGCACAUCCCACAAAUACGGAGUGACUGCAGCCAGCCAUCUGCAAGGGAACCAACAUUCAGCUGCAAUAAGCAGAUCUGCAGAGCAGCGUGCUCCUUCACCCAGGCGAGCUCCCUCCAGGCUCUGAGGAGCUCCUGCUCUGACUGGUGCCCACAGCUCUGCUCUCCCAGGAUAAACCACGGCUGGGAGAACCCACCCACACUGCUCCAGGAAGCCACAGGAAUGAGGGAGAAACGUGAGCUGGGGAUGGUUACUCUGGUGCACCUCAGGAGGGGGAAAAGGCUGAUGGCUUCAUCUUCAGAAAUGGACCAGAGGGACAAGGACACCACUGAAUUCUGGUUUUUUCCGCACUGCUGACAAUUUUAAAACUGUCUGUGAAGUGCUGUCCUCUUGAAAGAGUGUGCACUUACUGGAAUAAAUCAUACUUUCUCUUCCCCUCUGUCA
rnacentral:lncRNA from 1 species